UACGGAGGGUGCAAGCGUUAUCCGGAUUCACUGGGUUUAAAGGGUGCGUAGGCGGGCAUUUAAGUCAGUGGUGAAAUACCUGAGCUUAACUUGGGAACUGCCAUUGAUACUAUUUGUCUUGAAUGUCGUGGAGGUUAGCUGAAUAUGUCAUGUAGCGGUGAAAUGCUUAGAUAUGACAUAGAACACCUAUUGCGAAGGCAGCUAACUACGCGAAUAUUGACGCUGAGGCACGAAAGCGUGGGGAUCAAACAGG
rnacentral:rRNA from 1 species